rnacentral:rRNA from 1 species
GACGAACGCUGGCGGCGUGCUUAACACAUGCAAGUCGAGCGGAAAGGCCUUUCGGGGUACUCGAGCGGCGAACGGGUGAGUAACACGUGAGUAAUCUGCCCUUCACUCUGGGAUAGCCACCGGAAACGGUGAUUAAUACCGGAUACGACCACUCCCGGCAUCGGGUGGUGGUGGAAACUUUUUUGGGUGGGGGAUGUGCUCGCGGCCUAUCAGCUUGUUGGUGGGGUAAUGGCCUACCAAGGCUUCGACGGGUAGCCGGCCUGAGAGGGUGACCGGCCACACUGGGACGGAGACACGGCCCAGACUCCUACGGGAGGCAGCAGUGGGGAAUAUUGGACAAUGGGCGGAAGCCUGAUCCAGCAACGCCGCGUGAGGGAUGACGGCCUUCGGGUUGUAAACCUCUUUCAGCACCGACGAAGCGCAAGUGACGGUAGGUGCAGAAGAAGGACCGGCCAACUACGUGCCAGCCGCCGCCGUAAAAC